UCCAAAAAAGCACAGUGUCCCUUUUAUACAAAAUUCACUGUAACAUCCUUUGGAAUAAGAAAAGCCACUGUGGGUUUUCAAAAGCUCCUAUUCCUAUGAGCCCAGUCGGUGUGUGGUCCUGUUUUCACAGAUUUGAUAGAAAAUUAACCAAGAUCAAAUUGCUACACUCUGCUAAUUGGGCUUCAUGAAAAUUCAACAAAACCAAAACAAACAAACCAGAUCUUAAUUCCUUAAUCCCUGGAAAAGGCACCUUAUUGCUGGCUUCUGUCCCGAGGCUAAUGCAGGAUCCAGCCUGGAAAACCCUUUCUCCAAACUUUCUCCACAGAACAUUGUCUCUCUCAGACACUUGUACUCCUGCUGCUUUAUCUGGAGAAGAUGGCUCAGAUAAAGUGCCCAGAACAGGCAAGUUAAUGUGGUUUUUUCCUAGAGAAUUUUGCUAUAAAUUCAGGAACAGAGAAAGGAAAUAAGGAGAAAAAAAGGUAGCACUCAACAAACCCCAAUCUCCUCAAUUGAGAUAAAUUUUAUAAGAAGCUUAUUUGUGUUCCUCAGCUGGAAAGCUCCUGGGCAACCUUCUCUCCAACAUGACUACAGGACAAAGCACUGCAGGAAUUAUUUACUGGGUUUGUAAACAGUAAGAAAAUAGUCCUCAGAGUCAAAAAGAGGGAUAUUUAAAUAUUUUCUACAUUAUAUUUACCAAGAAAAUAAAUGCAGGAGGGCCAACCUAAGUGUAAACAGAGAUCACCAAUAAUACAGCAUUCCUAAAGAGUUUCCAGGAAUUAAUUCACGUGAAUUAAGAUGGGAUUCUUUACUGUACCUCCACUUAAAACCACGGCAGAGGACAGUGUCACUGACAGGUAGGACUGAGAAAAUUAGUACUGGCAAGGAAGCAGGAAAACUCUCCUUCAACCCAACAUUUAUUUCACCAGAAUAUGGGCAUAUAUAUAUAUAUUUAUCCAUUAAAUGCCCUUAUUGAACUCUCGCUCACAGAACUCCUGACAAGGAAAGGUCAGUGUAAGUUCUGCAUCACCUUUUUCCAGAACAUCCACUAGCAGAGUUCCUGGAAUAGCAGAUAAACAGGAGAAGAAUGGAAGAACAGCAGCCAAAAUGGGCCACUGCAAAGCACCGAAAGUGCUUCUUAGGAAAAUUCUCCAGAUGAGCAUUAUAUCUUUUGCAAAAAGGAAUAGCUGGCCAUCUCCACUUCCUCUGGAGAUUAGAACUCUGGUUUACUUUCCAGACUGCUACAGAAAUACCUCACAAAGAAGAAAACAAGGUUGAAGCAGUUUGCUGUCCCCACAGAUGGCCACUCAAAUGCUCAAACACCCCCACAGGAGAAACACAGCUCCAGCCUCUCUAGAAUACUGGUGCCUUGAGGAGGAUUCAGCAUUGUCUCAUGUUCUCCAUUCCACAGGAUCAUGAGAAGACUGAUACACUCAGGAGACAAUUUUUUUUUCUAAAGCCUAAUAGGAAAAUGUGAGAGGAGCAGGUUGAAUCUAAAAUCCAGCUCAGAUUCACAGCUGUGAGAAAAAUCUAAUUUCCUGCUCCAGUAACACCUUUUGCACUUUUUCCUCCAGCACCCAUUAGGGCAAACCUACAAAGUUGGGGAGGCUUCAAGAUACAACCAGAGAAAGAAAAGUUCCAUCAGCCUAUGGUUACCUGGACUGGGGAGACUGGUGCUCUAAGCACUGGGUUACUGUUCUUCGCUGAGGGAAGAACAGGGAGAAAAGUCUCUUGCUUUGGUUGCACUUUUUAACUGAAUGGCAGCAAUUCUUCUUCAAAUCCAUAUGUAUCAACGUA